UCUCAAACUCCUGACCUCAAGUAAUCCACCUGCCUCAGCCUCCCAAAGUGCUGGGAUUACAGGCAUGAGCCACUGCGCCCAGCCUCAUCUCUUUGUUAUAAAGAUGGAAAAAACGCCCCCAAAUUUUCUUUUUAUGCUAUUAAUGAAUCAGUCAACUCAUACCUAUUUAUUAAAUUUCUACUGCUUUUAGGCCAAAAAAAAUAAGAUCGUUCUCUGCCUCACAUAGCUUACAAGCCAGUCGGAGAAAUAUGGUACUCAUAAACAAAAACAAAAAAAAGUGAUGUACAACCACUUUGGAAAACAAUUUGGCAUUAUCUAGUAAAGUUGAAUCCAUGUAUACCCGUAAAACGGUCAAUUCUGUUCCUACAUACAUGCUUACAAGAAUGUCCAUAAAACCCUAUGUAUAAUAGCCAAAAGAACAGGGAACAACCAUAAUGCCCAUCAAAAGAAGAAUGGAUUAAAAAAUUUAUAUUCACACAAAGGGGUACCAUAUAGUAUUGAAAACAAUUGAAUUACAGCUAAAUGUAAUAACGUAACACAAUACAACUCUUGGGAACAUAAUGUUAAGCGAACAAAGCAGGUUUUCAGAAAAUAUAUGCAGAAUAAUUCCAUUUAUAUAACGUUCCAGAGCAUGCAAAACUAAAUCAUUUUCUAUAUGAAACCCAACAAAUGUGAUGAGACAACAAUGGGAAGGAAGAGAAUGAGAAAUACUUAAUUCUGGAUGGUGGUUGUCUUUCAGGGCGGGGAAUUAUGUGAUUGGGGAAAUGGACUUUCAAAGGUAACGGUAACUUCCUUAAACUGGAUGGUAUGGCCCAACCAAUACUUUGAAACCAGCAUGUUUAGAAUGGAGCAGGAAGAAACUACAUUUGAAAGGUCAGAAAGUGGAAAGACUAAGAGGGCCUGAACAAUAAGAGGACAGAACCAAGAGGAGUUGGCAACUAACUGGAUGUGGGGAUUAAGGAAAGGUAAGCAUCAAAGAUUACCUCCAAGUUUGUUAGAAGGUGAGUAGCAGGAUUCUGAUGCCAUUAAAGUAAAUACAGGUCUCAGUCAAAUGAACCCCAAGUGAAGGGGUGGCCUGCCCCUCCACACCUGUGGGUGUUUCUUGUUAGGUGGAACGAGAGACUCAAGAAAAGAAAUGAGACACAAAGUAUAGAGAAAGAAAAAGUGGGCCCAGGGGACUGGCACUCAGCAUACAGAGGACCCACACUGGCACCGAUCUCUGAGUUCCCUCGGUAUUUAUUGGUAAUUAUCUUUACCAUCUUAGAAAAGGGAAGUGGCAGGAUAAUAGGAUCAUCGUAGGGAGAAGGUCAACAGUAAGACAUAUGAAUAAAGAUCUCUGUGACGUAAGUUUAAGGAAAAGUGCUGUGCCUUGAUAUGCAUAUGUAAACAUUUCUAUAAACCUUUUUAGUGCAUAAAGAGCAGCAUUGCGCUAGCAAGUCCCACCUUCAGCCCUAAGGCGGUUUUCUCCUUUCUCAGUAAACAGAACAUACAAUCGGGUUUUACACCAAGAUGUUCCACUGCCCAGGGAUGGUCAGGAGACAGAUGUUUUUCUCUAUCUCAACUGCCAAGAGGCCUUCUUUCCUCUUACACUAGUCCUCCUCAGCACAGACCCUUCACAGGUGUCAGGCUGGGGGAUGAUCAGGUCUUUCCCUUCCCACGAGGCCAUAUUUCAGACCAUCACAUGGGAGAAACCUUGGAACGAUACCUAGCUUUCCUAGGCAGAGGUCCCUGCAACCUUUGGCAUUGUACAUGUCCCUGGGUACUUGAGAUUAAGAGAAUGGUGAUGACUUUUCACAAGCAUACUGCCUUCAGGCACUUGUUUAACAAAGCAUACCCUGCACAGCCCCAAAUCCUUUAAACCUUGAGUCACCACAGCACGUCUCUUGCAAGGACAAGGUUGGGGGUAGGGUCACAGAUUAACAGCAUCUCAAAUACAGAACAAAAUGGAGUCUCUUAUGUCUACUUCUUUCUAUAUAGACACAGUAACAGUCUGAUCUUUCUUUUCCCCACACCAAGAGCCACAUGUAUUUGUGGGGUAGUUUAUUUGUCUCACGCUUUUACCUGUUACAUGAUUUUCAGUAAUUUAGAACUUAAGCGAGUAGUGGGGCCACUGUAUAUCUAUCAACAUGGUGAGGUAGAGCACGUUUGGGAGGGAAGACGUUGAAUCCCAUUUGGUGAUGGUGAGCUUGAGGUGCUGCCAGAAAAUUGCACGGAAGAUAGGAGGAGACUGUAGAAAAUGCAAGAUGGGAAAGGUCUCCACUUACAUGUUAACUGUUUCUCUCUAAAUGGCCAUCCAGGCCUCAAUGUCUACAGUUCUUGAUCUGUGAUUAUGACAUAUCCAAAUCUUACGUUUCUUAAAAAUAGUCAUAGAUGAAGGGAUCACAGUUGAUAGAGGUAUGGUGACGUUAUUGGCUUAAAUUCUAAAUCACUAGAAACUCUGUAAUAGGCAAAACAGUGAGGCAAAUAAAAUGCUUCUCAAAUAUGCAUGGCUCUUACGGGGUUAAUUUGAUUUGGACAUGUAUUAAUUUCUUAUCGCUGCUAUAACUAACAAAUUACCACAAACUUGGUGGCGUAAAACAACACACAUUUAUUCUCUUUCUGUUUUGGAGGCCAGAAGUCUAAAAUGAGAUUCCCUGGGCUGCAGUUCACUGGGCAAGGCCAUGCUCCUCUGGAGGCUUCCGUGAUGCUUCCCAUAUUCAGUGUUUCCUGAGGAAGCCCCUCCCAUGCAGGUCUGCAGUUUUACCUUAACAGGCUUUUGCACUCAGUGGCUCUCUUCUGUGGUUUCUUAUCUGAAAUUCUCUUCAUUUUUUUAAAAUAACAGCUUUAUUGGGAUAUAAUUCAUAUGCCAUACAAUUCACGCAUACAGUAUACAAUUCAGUAGUGUUUACUAUAUUCAGAGUUGUGCAACCAUCACUUUUCUCACCCCCAAAAGAAACCCUAUGCCCAUUAGUAUUCACUCCAUUUUUUCACAACUCUAGGUAACCACUAAUCUACUCUCCAUCUCUAUAGAUUUGCCCAUGCUAGACAUUUCAUAUAAAUAGAAUCAUACAUGUGGUCUUUUUCACUGAGUAUAAUGUUUUCAAGGUACAUCCCAGCUGUGGCAUGAAUCAGCAUCUCAUUCCUUUUUAUUGCCAAAUAAUAUUCUAUCAUAUGGAUAUGUCACAUUUUAUGUAUCCAUUCAUCAGCUGAUGGACAUUUGGGUUGAUUCUACUUUUUGGCUACUAUGAAUAAUGCUACUGUGAACUUUUGUGUACAAAUCUUACGUGGACAUGUUUUCAUUUCUCUUGGAUGUAUAUUCCUAGGAGAAUGGCUGGAUCAUAGGUAACUCUUUCCUCAUAACUUUGCAUAUCAAAAUUAUAUCCAACUUUUUAGAAGCCAAAUUCAGUGUUAUUUCCAAAGUGUUUAAACAUCUACUCAAAAUGAAUCUUCUCCCUAGUACUCCCAUUGUUUAGUACCUAAUUGUUCUUACCAGUUUGUCUUAGAGCUCAGUGAUUCAUACAUAGCACUUUUCUUCAUUAUACUGCUAAUUUCAUUAUAUUGGAAGAAUGGGGACAAGCUGUCACUCUUGUAUACCACAAAGCAGUGAGUGCACUGCUAUGAAGAAAGCAGGAACUCAAAGUUAAGAAUUUUGAAUGCUUGAGCCUGUAAAAUGUGUCUAAUAAAUAAUAAUGUUCAUUUUCAAAUUUCAACAAUUAAAUGUUUAACAAAUAACACUUGAAAUAAAUGUUUGUUAGAGAAACCAA